CUUUCGGGUCGAAUUAUUACAGCGUAUAUAUAAACACACAAGAAACUAGGGUUUCUCUUCUUUGAUUCUUAUUCUUCUUCCCUUAUUCAAUCCAGCCUCCAUCUUUCUAUACACGCUAAUCCUUACCCACUCCAUUUCUCAUAUGAAAACCCUAAAAUUAAUGGUUGAAGUCGCAAAUCGAAUGGGUAUAACCAUCUCUUUCUCUGAAUCAUGUGUAUCAAUCAAUUCUGAUUUGUGAUGCCAUGACUAACAGAGGUUUUAGAUCAUUGUUAGAGUUGACCACUCCUCCACCGUGGUCAAUUGAUCUGCACCGUUUUCUUCCACAUAAUAUUAGGGUUUAUAAUUUUUAAGUUCACAGUAACAUUCAGCUAAAAAUGAGCAAAAGCCGAGAAAGUGAAAGUUACUCUAAAGAAUGGUGUGGCAAGAGUAAAAGGGUUCACAAAGAAAAGGUCAAAAGUGGAGAAAGAGGAGUUGGCUGUUGUUGAAGAUCUCAAACUGAAAGAGAGGUUGACAAGUCGUUACAAAGGGUGGAAGAAGAAGCUCAGCGAAUAUAUAAAGACGAGCAUGGUGUGCUUCUUGAUGAUGAAGCAGCUUCAACUAGAGAUGCAAUGUAUGAGCAGGUUGAUCUCUAAUUCAGAAACUUAAUGCCAAUCAGAUGGGUUGCCAUAAGGAUGGAUUAAAGAAACCAGAACUAAGAUAUAUGCAACCCACAAAAGAAAUAAUCUGUUCUAUACAGACCCUGAGACUGGAUACAUCUUUCGGUCCAAAGCUGAUGCUCUGCGUUAUAUAGAGACCAGAGAUGUGAACUCAUGUGGUAUUAGACCAAAAGUUAAGGAUAAAGAUGGAAAGGAAGCUGUAAGUCCUUAAGAUUUGCAGUUUUUAGGCAUCGUUAUGGAAUUACCAAACUGUCAUAUUGACUUUAGUUGACCUGAAUGUUUUUUCUUGACAUUAUGUAUAUACAAACAAUGCACAAAAACCCACUACUGGAGAUGACGUGGCGACUGAAGUUCCUGAAGAGAAUCACACCCCUGAUCCAAAAACCGCUAUUGACAUAAACCACAGGGUGACAAAGAAUAGCAGUCCCGCGACUGAUUCGCCAUCUCGAUCUUCAAAAAGGCAAAAAGGGAAAGAUUACGAGACUGCCCCUACAAGCGGUGUUCCCGCUGAGAAGCAGGAAACAUGGGUAAAUUUGGAAAAACAACCUGAUGAUGGCAAUCUAACUUUUAACAUUCCAGAAGAUGAUAACUGGACAGACCAAUGCAUUGACUUUGCGGUGAAAACACUUACAGUCGAAAUCAUGUUUAAUGGUCAACCAGUGGAGACAACAAGUGUGAAGGACACUCCUCCAGCAAAGGUGAACUGAGGUAUGAUGUUCAGUGGGAUUCUCAGCGGGUGGAGAACUUGAAGCAACUAAUGGUAUGUUCCCACAGGAUGUUGUUGCUCGGGUCCUUAACAAUCAACUAAUCUCAUUAGUGUGGAUCGAUGAAAGGGUUGGUGUGCUCCUGGUUUUAUACACUUUCUCUAAUUAACCUUGGUUGAAAAUAACCAUGUCAAAGUUAAAAUCAAUCUCAGGUCAAAGUUUAUCUAAUAAUUGCCAGUUUCAACCUGAACACAAGAGGCAAAUUGGAUGGUUUGGGUAAUGAGUCACAAUGGGUAAAAGUUGUUUUACUUGGUUGAAAGUCAAAAUGAUCAAAGUCAAAAUUAAAACUUAUCCAACAAUUAUUUGUUUCAACCUAAACACAAGUGGCUAAAUGGACAGGUUAUGUAAUGGGUCAAAACGGGUAAUCGUUUAAAUUAUUUUACUCCGCAACAUAAAAAACUGUUCGUGUAAGUUCAGUCUUCGCAAGAGUUGUAUUUUUAAGUUCGUUUUGUUUAUAUAUAUCUUAGUAAUCUCCGUAAGAGAUGAUGUCAGUGAGUGCAUGGUGAGAAAAGAACUACGAACCCCCCCUCCCCAUUAAUAUAUAACUGACAUUAUUGUUAUUAUCAUUGGACAAAUAUUUUGAUUUUACCCGUUUAACCGUAUGUUUGAAUAUGUUGUUGCAGCUACACAAUGUGUUCUUUGGACUUGCAUAUGUCGUGUACUGUCAUCAAGUAAUAAAGCUUUCUUAAAUUGGUGUUGAACAUACGCCGCAAAGCAGUUUGGUAAUUUGGUCAAAAGGGGUUUAGAAAGUGGUUAAGUGGGUGAUUUUUGGUACGGGUUGACACAAUUUGUAUUAUAAUCAUAGUAAUUGUCCAUGACAACCCGUUAGAUUUUUUGACCCGAGUAGUAUGUAGAAUCUUGAAUCUUGAUUCUGUUUGGCAAAUGAAAUGGGCCAGGUAGGGCUAGGUAACGAUUCACAUGUUUGGGUGGAAACACAUUCUGGCCAAAAUGGGGUUAGGUCGAAGUGGGCUGUAUUAAUGAAGUAUCAGUUUUGUUUGGGUCAAAAUGGGUUCCAAUAUUAUUAUUUAGGUGUUGUUGUAUGAGAGACUAUAUGUUUGUUGACCCGCUGUCAUCCUGUAGUCAAUUCAUGUUAGAUUAUAUAAAUUACUACAAAGUAAGUCGACAUCAUGUAUGAUAUGGUUGAUUUCAUAGGUUUCAUGAAGUGCACAUCAACAUGGCUGCACGUACCGAUAAAAGACUCUUUGUUCCUAUCAUAAGGGGGUGUUUCAGAUCUAGGGGAUCCAUCCCAGGCCGACAUUCUAGCAGUGGAUUUGGUGAGUAGAUGAAUAAGUUCACUUUGUAUCAAGUAGAGCCAUGCCAACAAUCUUGACCCAAAGCUGAUAAUCUAAGUUGAAAUGGCCUGAAAAAUAUUGAAUUUGGGUUGGAAUAGGCAAGCAAAAAGUAAGUUAAAUUCUUGACGGUUAAAUUCCGCAUUUAUAGUCUAAUGGUUCAAGUGCGGUAUAAUUGGCGACAUCGCGUCGACGUUGAGACAUGGCCUCCAUUCAUGGCGAUUUUUAUUGUUUCGUCUAGCAACGUACAUUUCCUUCUUUGAUCUUUGGUCUUUUCUUUGUUUUUUCAUUGCAACAGUAAUUUUAUGUGAUCGUGAUUCUGAUUUUGUUUUCUAUAAGCUUUGUAUUGAUUUAGGGGACAUGGAGUGGUCUGUGUGAAUCGAUUUCAUUUUUCUAUGGAUUAUCAAUCCCAUAUUCAACAUUUUAUGAUGUGUUAAGGCGGACCAAAAUUAUGUCAAAGGAAUCAGUCAAUGACCUUAAAGACCGAACUUGAAAAAUAUACACGAACCUGAACACGACCCGAAUAUUCACUUGGUGCCUCGAGCACGACCCGUUCACCCCGAGUUUUAUUGUAUUAUUAAUUUUUUUUUCCAAAAAUUAAUAUAUUAAAAUUAAAAUAAUUAUUUUAGAUUAUGAGGGGUUCUCCCAUUUUGUCGAGAUAAAAAAAAGUGUCUGCUUUUCGCUUUGAUUAAUUUGUUUUAUUUUAGAUUAUAUUUUUGUGUCAUUUAGUUUUAUAGACAUUAUAAGGAUAUAUUAAUGUGAGGUUCAAAAAUGGUCCAGUUAACUUGAAAAUCAAGUUGCAACAGUAACAUUACGGGAGAAACAAAAGGCAAUUGCUAUCAAAGAUUCAAGGGGUAGUUAUUAACAUGGCCUUUGUUGCAUGUUAGCCACCAACCAGACACAAGCAGCCCCCAUAUGACCUUUUAGUUAUAGUUCAAUUGAUGGUAACCUGGUACUAAUUGUUUGUUGGCCUUGCUGGCUAGAGAGUGUGCUCGAGCCGAGUCAUGUGAAAAAAAAGAGCUAGGAAUGCUAUGUUGUUUUUCCACAGUAUACUACUUGAAAGAGUGCAAACAAUACAAGUCGGAUGGGUUGGCUAACGUGUCAACUGUCAACACGAGUUCAGGUACCCAUGAAGAGGAUUCUUUUCCCUGCAAUGGGCUGCUGUGUUGAGGCUAAUACUGCACAACCUCCACCACUUCCCCUUCUUAAAGAAAACUCAGUUUGGUGGUUUGAAAGAUGAAGACCACAUACCACAUAUUUACGAACCUUUAUGGUAUACAUGACACAUUUCUCAAAAGGGCCAUGAAGCGUGGUGAUUUGUAUAGAACUAAGGAUUUAGUGAUCAAGAGUUCCGAUUGGAUUUCUUGCUAUAUAAGUGAUAGAACUAAGGUACAUAUUAUUAUAAAAAGUCAUUUGCGGAGCACACAUGCAAUAAGCUAAAAGUCAACUAACCUAA